UUGAAAAUAUUGAACUUGUGCGGUACACAGAAUGCACGGCAGCCUAGUGCCUCACCCCCAAUGUAGAGCUGCUCCACUGACAAUGAAUGACUUCCACCGGAACGCAACGAGUUCCAUGCAUCUGGUGGACAUGAGGCGUAAACUGUCUUUCAUUACAGACAUAUAUUUUGAGGUUGAUGCGAGCGUGACCCUUAUUGGGUCCUGUGACGAUCCGGGACAGACCAUCAGUAACUGGCUGCAUGGCACUCUACCUGCUGAGAUGUCUGUUCUGACCUUCCAGCUUUUGAGAAAGGCAUACAGUGUGCACCAUCCAUCUCCACGAUCAAACACGGCUCAUUCUGAUAGGACACGGCUGCCUGUUCCGAGUGCGGGUGACAACGUCAUCAAGUCAACAGGCGACAACGACAAGGAUCCGCACCCUCCUGGAGAAGAUAUACACCAAUGGCCUUAUAACCAUAGAAACCAAGUCCAAGGACAUCAAGAUCCGUCAUAUACGCAAGCUUUGUUUGAAUGAAACAGGACCCAUAAAACUGAAACUGGAAGGACUCUGGUACUGUCUAGAGAAAAAGAGGCUUGGGGUUGAAGAAAGAAAACGGUUGAAAAUGGCUUUCCCUUUGAUAUGAAUGAUUUGAACUUAUUUGAUGUGAAAAUAUAACAUUUGUCCCUAUGGAUUGUGCAGGUGUUGAUGCCUUGUGUUCCUUGUUUGUCCCACCGCCAGGGAGUUGUCUGGAGCACCGUCACCAGACCAAAACAUGGCCUGUUUGUGUGGCCGGUCACCUGGGCCCCCCAGACAGCCACACUGCCAUGUCAGGGAGACCCCAGCAAGACAGCCAGUAGGCUCUGUCUGUUGGGUGUACCAGUCAGUUGGGGCAUCCCAGAUCUGCACCAGUGCCCGUUCGUGGUUGAGACCUUUCCAGAACUAGACAACAU